UCGAGAGGCUUUGGCAAUGGGGGAAACCCUGACCAAGCGACGCCGCGUGGAGGAUGAAGGCCCUUGGGUUGUAAACUCCUUUUGUCGGGGAAGAAAUGCGAUCAGGUGAACAAUCUGGUCGUUUGACGGUACCCGGCGAAUAAGCUCCGGCUAACUCCGUGCCAGCAGCCGCGGUAACACGGGGGGAGCAAGCGUUGUUCGGAAUCACUGGGCGUAAAGGGCGUGUAGGCGGUUAGGUAAGUGGAAUGUGAAAUCCCUCGGCUCACCCGAGGACCUGCAUCCCAAACUGCCUGACUUGAGUAUGGGAGAGGAUGAGGGAAUUCCUGGUGUAGCGGUGAAAUGCGUAGAUAUCAGGAGGAACACCGGUGGCGAAGGCGCUCAUCUGGCCCAAUACUGACGCUGAGGCGCGAAAGCUAGGGGAGCAAACGGGAUUAGAUACCCCCGUAGUCC
rnacentral:rRNA from 1 species